GCCAUCACUGUUCUAGGUGCUUUACAAAUAGUAUCUCAAAGGGAAAAAAGUGUGAAAAAUGCCCUAGAGAGUAGAAGGUAAUUCAAAGGGAGACUCACAGAUGCAGAAUAGUUUUGAAGCUAAAAUAUUGAAUUUAUUAUUUUCUUUAAAACAAAAAAAUACCAACAGAGAUUCAUGGUUCAUUUAUAAUCUUCUUCUCAUCUUUAUAUGUGAGAAUAUUUGUUUAUUGACAUUUGUCAAGUUCAUAAUAAGAUUUAUAAACAAUAAUGACCACAGUACAAUAUUAUAGUCAGUGGUUAAAGACAGAGUAUGGAGCUUAGCUUUUGGACUCAAGAGAGGCAGAGUUGACAUUCUGUUGUGAAAGGAAAAACAUUAUAUUCUUGGUUAGAUGGAAAGACAUUUAACAGAGGUGCUUAUAAAUACAGCCAGCCUCUUUUUCUUUUCUCCCCAAGAAAGAAGGUUGAAAUCUCUCCAUUCUUAUACUGUUGAUGAUAUGAAACCCCUAAAUUCUAUAACGGAUAACAUGGAGGAGAAAAUGUCAGCUGGAAAAAUACUUAAGUUAGGUGUUACCAGAUGUCUGCCCCUUUCUAUUAAAGAAGGCUCCUCUACAGCAUCCCAGUACUGGUAGCUGAAGAUCUGCUGUCAACUGAUGGCUCCUGCUAGCAUCUUCUCAUUCAUCUCCUGCUGCCUUCUUAACUGUUCCUGUUACCUUCUCUCCUACUGUGUUUUUGAGCACUUUGAAUGCCUGAAAUCAGAGUCUCCUGGUGCUUAGUGACUCAUCGUUCUCUGAUGAGGUAAAAGUUAUAAAAUCCAUACUUCUGUUCAUCACGAAACCUACAGCCCUUAUUAAUCAUCCUAUAGUAUUCAAAAGUUAUUUAGUUCACAAUUUUGUGAGUUUUAACUUCUCACAACCUAAAAACAUCCAUAUACAAAUCAGUCAAGGGAGGAUGAUAGCCUAUAACUUUUC
rnacentral:lncRNA from 1 species